rnacentral:rRNA from 1 species
ACGCUCGACACCUACUGGAGGCAGCAGUGGGGGAUAUUGCACAAUGGGGGAAACCCUGAUGCAGCAACGCCGCGUGAAGGAAGAAGGUCUUCGGAUUGUAAACUUCUGUCCUCAGGGAAGAUAAUGACGGUACCUGAGGAGGAAGCUCCGGCUAACUACGUGCUAGCAGCCGCGGUAAUCUGAGCGGGCUGGCAAGGC